GUCAACAACCCGCCCCCUAAAACGGGGCGGGCUUGCGGGGAGGGCUACCGCAACGUAAGUGUUUGACUAGAGGCCACAAUCCGCUCAGCCUUGUGUUGAGCCGCUUGUGGAGCAGCGAUACCGGGCUAAGAAAUAGUUCGAUCCCAGGCUCAUGUGCUAGAGAGAGAGCAAAAGUACGUCCAGAUGCCCCCUAGUCUGGACCACUACCUGCCGCGCCCAAGCAGACGGCUUCGGGCCUAUGCCUGUAUCGCAAUCUCGAAGGGGAAUAUUACCACGGCAUAGACCGUG
rnacentral:sRNA from 1 species